rnacentral:rRNA from 1 species
AUUAUUCCGCAAUGGGGGAAACCCUGACGCAGCGACGCCGCUUGGGUGAUGAAGUCCUUCGGGUCGUAAAGCCCUGUCGGCGGGGAAGAAGGACUGUCGUGCGAAUAGUUCGAUGUGCUGACGGUACCCGUGGAGGAAGCACCGGCCUACCUCGUGCCAGCAGCCGCGGUACUACGGAGGGUGCAAGCGUUGCUCGGAAUUACGUGGCGUAAAGGGCGUGUAGGCGGUUUCGUAUGUCUGGCAUGAAAGCACCGGGCGCACCCCGGGAAGUGCGCUGGAACCUACGAGACUAGAGUCCCGGAGAGGGAGGUGGAAUUCAAGGUGAAGCGGAGAAGUGCGUAGAUAUCUGGAAGAACGCCGGUGGAGAAGGCAGCCUGCUGGACAGUAACUGACGCUGAGACGAGAAAGCGUGGGAAGCAAACAGG